rnacentral:lncRNA from 1 species
GCCGCAAGGGUCAACAAGUGUAUUUUUUUAAUUUUAAGAUCAACGUUUCGAACUUCUAUCACCAAAACAUUGAAAGAAUAGGAUCAUUGAGGUUUGCUUCAUACUUAAUAUAUAUACAUUGUUUUCUUGUAAGCUAGAGAUUUCCUCAAAGCACAAAAAAAAAUAUUUCAUAUAUUCUUGUUAAGAAUGAUCCGAAAGCUUAUAGCAUCUUAAGCCUGAAACUUCAUAUUUGAGACACUAUGCAUGUUGGACCAUCAUCAGCCAUAUCUGGAUGCACAAAAUUCCUCGAUUUUAUAGUCUCCAUGGCAACCGAAUAGAACGAAGACCUCUGAAACCAACAACAAGUUGGCCUUCCAAACAUAUCUCUCUCCUCUCAUGGGGAAUAUUAUUACUCUAGUUCUCUCCUCUGAAUCACACCCACAGGUGCUGGGGACUAUCUGAGGUCCGGCGAGUGGAGAAACGACUUCGGAAUACUCCAAUGGCCCUCGAUUCUGCUUCGUCAUCACAACAAUAGCAACCACUUACUGUUUUCGCCACGUAUUGAUUCUCUUUUUGGCUGUAACUCUCAAAUUGUGGUAGUUUAUACAUGUAACCAAACAUACAGAGACCCUGCCCCAUGUCAAUUGUCGUGUUGCCGAAUAUUGGAAACAUAAAACAAUUUGCGAAUUCCCUGCUUAACGAACAAAAUCCAAAUUCUCGAUUCUAGCAACAAGAAACAGACCAUUUAAAAAAGGGAAAACGAAGCAAUUGUUCAAAUUUCUCAACUCUAGCCGUGAGCAAGAAACAACUUAAAAGAGAAUGGAAGAACGAGUUACUGAAGCAAUUCCCUCAACACACACUCCCCCUCGGCGCUCUUCCGCUGGCGAGACGAUGACGCAGAACAUGAACUAGGGAUUCUGUUUAAUCUCGAUAGCAGCAGAUAUUUUGGUUUGGGGAAGAACAUUUGUGGGGUUCUGAUUUUAUUCGAUGUCUAUUUACGAUUAUUUUGUUAAUGAAUAUUUUAAUUUAUUGUUGAGUUAAUAAG